rnacentral:rRNA from 1 species
UACGUAGGGUGCGAGCGUUGUCCGGAAUUACUGGGCGUAAAGAGCUCGUAGGUGGUUUGUCGCGUUGUCCGUGAAAACUCACAACUCAAUUGUGGGCGUGCGGGCGAUACGGGCAGACUGGAGUACUGCAGGGGAGACUGGAAUUCCUGGUGUAGCGGUGGAAUGCGCAGAUAUCAGGAGGAACCCCGGUGGCGAAGUCGGGUCUCUGGGCAGUUACUGACGCUGAGACGCGAAAGCUGGGGGAGCGAACGGG